CCCAUGAAAAGGUGUUGGGUUGCUAUAGACAGCAGGACGGUGGCCAUGGAAGUCGGAAUCCGCUAAGGAGUGUGUAACAACUCACCUGCCGAAGCAACUAGCCCUGAAAAUGGAUGGCGCUUCAGCGUCGACCCCAUACCCGUCCGCCGCGGCGGAGAUGCGAUCGCAUUAUGCCGCGGUGAGUAGGAGGGCGCGGGGGCGCGCGUGGAAGGUGCCGGGCGUAAGCCCGCCUGGAGCCGCCCCCGGUGCAGAUCUUGGUGGUAGUAGCAAAUACUCAAGUGAGAACCUUGAGGACUGAGGUGGAGAAGGGUUCCAUGUGAACAGCAGUUGAACAUGGGUCAGUCGGUCCUAAGGGAUGUCCGAAAGGAUUUCCGAAGGGGGACUUUAUGUAGGUGGGUCCCGCCCAUGACCGAAAGGGAAUCGGGUUAAUAUUCCCGAACCCGGACACGGAGAUCGGCCCCCUCGGGGGCACGUGCGGUAACGCAAACGACCUCGGAGACGUCGACGGGGGUCCCGGGAAGAGUUGUCUUUUCUUUGUAAGGGCUCGGUUCCCUGGAAUCGGCUCGCCCGGAGAUAGGGAUGCUGAGCCCGUAAAGCACCGCGCCUCUUGCGGUGUCCGGAGCGCUCCCGUCGGCCCUUGAAAAUCCGAGCGAGAGUUGGUGAUUUUCGUGCCGGACCGUACCCAUAUCCGCAGCA
rnacentral:rRNA from 1 species